GUAGGUGAACCUGCGGAAGGAUCAUUAUUCAUUUCGCUUUGAAAGGUUUUUUGGCUGACAAGGCCUUGGACCCGAAAGCAAAACGUUUUCUGUGCACUGUUGGAAAAAAUAGAUUAGAUUGAAAUGGGGUAUUAUUUUCAUUCUUACACACUCUCUUUAUAUGCUGCUCUGUGCUGCUUCUCUCCCUUCUUCAAAGGCGGGGAGAUUAUUGAGAAAAAAAAGAACGUUGUUAUUCUCCUUUUCAAUUUUU
rnacentral:misc_RNA from 1 species